rnacentral:lncRNA from 1 species
UGAAAUCUUGUGCCAUCCUGCUCUGUCCCACCCAAGACAUGAAUCACCUCUUUGUUGAAUGUGCAUUGAUCCAGCCAGCAACAUGGUCAGGGCUGGAUGAUCCUCCUUCUGACAUAUCAUCAGAAGGUCAACGCUAUGUCACAAUGCCUACGUCACUCACCGCACUUAAUCUCAUCACUAGGCUUUGUACCAUCUCACAUCAUCCCCAGAAGAACAGCGUGCCAAUGAGCAGACUCAUCCUCCAGCAACUUGUUCAUAUUUGUGCCUGACCUCUUCUCCAGAACAGCUUCCAAGGAAAUCUUUCCUGGUUUCCUACCAGGUAUUUCCAUCACAACGCAAGAGAAGAUGGAAUGGUACCAUUUUGCAAUUUUUUUGCUACAAUACCAGAUAGUUCUCUGCCACAUUAUUUUUAAUGAC